AUGCAAGUCGAACGGUAACAGGUCUUCGGAUGCUGACGAGUGGCGAACGGGUGAGUAAUACAUCGGAACGUGCCCGAUCGUGGGGGAUAACGCAGCGAAAGCUGUGCUAAUACCGCAUACGAUCUACGGAUGAAAGCAGGGGACCGCAAGGCCUUGCGCGGACGGAGCGGCCGAUGGCAGAUUAGGUAGUUGGUGGGAUAAAAGCUUACCAAGCCGACGAUCUGUAGCUGGUCUGAGAGGACGACCAGCCACACUGGGACUGAGACACGGCCCAGACUCCUACGGGAGGCAGCAGUGGGGAAUUUUGGACAAUGGGCGAAACCCUGAUCCAGCCAUCCCGCGUGUAUGAUGAAGGCCUUCGGGUUGUAAAGUACUUUUGGCAGAGAAGAAAAGGUACCUCCUAAUACGAGGUACUGCUGACGGUAUCUGCAGAAUAAGCACCGGCUAACUACGUGCCAGCAGCCGCGGUAAUACGUAGGGUGCAAGCGUUAAUCGGAAUUACUGGGCGUAAAGCGUGUGUAGGCGGUUCGGAAAGAAAGAUGUGAAAUCCCAGGGCUCAACCUUGGAACUGCAUUUUUAACUGCCGAGCUAGAGUAUGUCAGAGGGGGGUAGAAUUCCACGUGUAGCAGUGAAAUGCGUAGAUAUGUGGAGGAAUACCGAUGGCGAAGGCAGCCCCCUGGGAUAAUACUGACGCUCAGACACGAAAGCGUGG
rnacentral:rRNA from 1 species